rnacentral:rRNA from 1 species
GACAGAGGUGCCGAGCGUUAGGCGGAAUCACUGGGCUUAAAGCGUGUGUAGGCGGGGCGUUAAGUACCUUGUGAAAUCCCACGGCUUAACCGUGGAACUGCUCGGUAUACUGGCGAUCUUGAGCCACUUAGGGGUCAGCGGAACAAAUGGUGGAGCGGUGAAAUGCGUAGAUAUCAUUUGGAACGCCAAUGGUGAAAACAGCUGACUGGGAGUGUGCUGACGCUGAGACACGAAAGCCAGGGGAGCGAACGGG